rnacentral:ncRNA from 2 species
UUCUUAUCGAGAGUGGUGGAGGGACUGGCCCGAUGAAACCCGGCAACCGAUUUUAGAAAAUGGAUUGCAGUGAAUGUAGCAAUCUACUUUCUAAAAUGUCAUGGUGCUAAUUCCUUCAAAAUGGCAUGUGCAGUCAAUGCAAUGUGAUUUUGGCAGAUGAGAA